AGAGGACAUAUGCUCCUAUAUCGUUGAGAAACGUAGCAAUAUCCAGUUCAUAAAUUUGUUAAGGAUCAAACUGUCAGAAAUUUGCUUUUACGACAAAUCAUUCUGGAGUUCAACAACGCUUUCAGAGGUAUUGGCCGUUUUUAUACUAGAGACGCAUUAUGCGUCUACUAGAGACGCAUUAUGCGUCUGGACGCAUAAUCCGUCUUCUAUAUUAUUCGUCUAGUAUAAAGACGGGACGAAUAAUCCGACGAACUAUCAGCAUUUAUUCUUCGUCUGGUAAAGCGUCCUCAGUAUAAAGACGGGCACAAGACGCAUUAUGGGUCUAGACAAACUAUCAUCGGUUGUGCAUCUCUUAAGACGAAGAAUCGAACAUAGCUCGUCUAGGCGCAUAAUGCGUCUUGUGCCCGUCUUUAUACUGAGGACGCAUAACCAGACGAACAACAAAUGCUUGGCGAAGUUCGUACAGACGCAAAAUGCGUCUCUAGUAUAACAAGACGUCUGCUCAGGUGUUAACACUGGCCUGAAAAUGGCAACUUUCGUGGUAUGGUGUAAUUUGUAGUAGAGAAGUAGAUUGGGAUACAGGAGGUCUGGACCAUAUAAAUACAACCAAUAAAUACAUUCAUGAUCAGCAACUAUCAACCAUAUACGCCGGCUCAGACGUACCCUCCGGCUAUGGGCAACUCAACCUGACAAUUAGCCAGGUCCACUGUAACUGAUCAUCAACUAUCAACCGUAAAUAACGAUGGGUCAAUAAUAGCCGCGAAGAAAUUAUAUGGUCCUUGAUUUUUAAUGCCAUUAUAUGGCUCGUUUCAGGUGCUAAAGAGUUCAUAGUCCAUAGACAUAGACGAUUUUUCUAAUAAAUAUGCCAAUUUGCUUCCAUUUAGUAAGAUUAACUGAUCCAAAGCCCUUCUCUAAUCCCAACCAGUAAACAUCUAAUAAACAUUUUGAGAAUUAAGAAAGUGGGUGGAAAAGUUGGAUCUUGUUCCAAAACAAAUCGAACAGCACCAUGUUUCACUUCGCCGCACACAAUGCCAUGCACCUCGCUGAAUACAAUCGAAAACAUAUAUUUUAUAGUAAUAUAUGAUGAAUUGGAAAGUAAUGUAAUUAGGUGCAAAUUUAUAAUUAUGCAAAUAAAUACAAGAGCAAAACGCAUGUUUAUGAGCAUACAACGUAUAUUUAUACUUGUUGAUUAAAAUGUCAAACUGUCAAACCUUUAACUUGUACAUGUCCUUGUUUAUAUUCCACUAUAUUUUAUAAAUUCGCUGUGUCCAAAUUUUGGCGUUUUCGAGUCGUUACCCAAAGAAAAACACACUAAUUCAACAUGCAAAAAAGGCCAGAGUGCGACACAACGUAAAAUCAAUAGGAAACCGGCACAAUUCUUUGACAAUUCAACGAAACUGUGUGAAAUACGUAUUAGAUCGCUCAGUGAAAAGCUGCCAUUUUGAAACUGAACUGAAUAUGUCACUGGAAUACGUUGCACCCUGAGCCUGCAAUGACCUAACGCAAACUCGAUUUCUCGACAACGAAAAAAACAGAAAAAGAGGGAUAUAAGACACUUGGCCUACAGGCCAGUGUAAAAAAGCCAUUAAUAUCAAUAGAAUGUUAGGGUUUGUAAUCCAAGUGAGUAUAAAACAUUUUAAGACCUGACCAGGAACGACUGCAAAAAAUGCAGCACAAGGUCCUCCGGUAGGAAUUGACCCUACGACCCUGUGAUUCCGGUGCAGCGCUCUAACCAACUGAGCAACAGAGGCCAGCUGUUGAGCUGUAACCGUAAGUUCGUGCAUAUAUAGGUAAUCGAGUGUGCGGGUUGUGAUAAAGUGGACUUCAAUGAUUUGUUUCUUGCACUUCAAUUGGUGGAAUUAAUAGCCUAUUAGAAUGUUAGGGUUUGUAAUCCAAGUGAGUAUAAAUACAUUUUAAGACCUGAUUACUUGGAUUAGAAACCCUAACAUUCUAAUACUAAUUCCACCAAGUGAAGUGCAAGAAAUAAAUCAUUGAAGUCCACCUUAUC